GCUUCUUUCAGAAAAGUGUAGCAGAGCAAUGAGGAGGCAUAAUAAGGGACAACUAAGGAAAAGUCUAGAGGAAAUAUUCUGGGGAUGAAAGGCUUUUUGUUCUUCUUCUCGUACUGCUGUUCCCUUCUGCUCCUGAGCCUAUUUCUUUUAUUACGCCGAUGCUUUUACAGGUUUAAGGUCACAUGGGGAAAAGAACAGCGUGUCCUCCGACUCUUUGGUUCUCCCUUUCUGUUUGCCCUGAUAAUGCGGACGAUACGGCGCACAUGGGCCACAUCACCGGCCAUCAGCGGAGCUCGGCCUCGUGGCAUCAUGGGAGCUGUUGGAGAUGGAGUUGUAAAGAAACCACUGAAAGCUUGAAAGGUGCCCCGAAAACAUUUGCAGCAUCUGCUGUCAUGGAGCAGAACGGCUGGGAACGAUUCCAAUGAGACACCAGUUUGGGGAUGGAGACAAAGGGUCGGUCUUUCCCCUUGUUUGGAUGUCAACCACCAGUGUGCUUUUCACUCUCGGAGUCAAGCAGAUAUUAUAACAUGUAAAGGAACAGUGUGUAGCAUUUAUGGUGCUCUUUGGGCAGAGAGGAAAUGUUAUAAUAAUAAGUUUGUUUUAUUUUGUGUAUGAUCACCUGAAAAUAUAAAUCGU